AGAGUUUGAUCAUGGCUCAGAUUGAACGCUGGCGGCAGGCCUAACACAUGCAAGUCGAACGGUAACAGGAAGAAGCUUGCUUCUUUGCUGACGAGUGGCGGACGGGUGAGUAAUGUCUGGGAAACUGCCUGAUGGAGGGGGAUAACUACUGGAAACGGUAGCUAAUACCGCAUAACGUCGCAAGACCAAAGAGGGGGACCUUCGGGCCUCUUGCCAUCGGAUGUGCCCAGAUGGGAUUAGCUAGUAGGUGGGGUAACGGCUCACCUAGGCGACGAUCCCUAGCUGGUCUGAGAGGAUGACCAGCCACACUGGAACUGAGACACGGUCCAGACUCCUACGGGAGGCAGCAGUGGGGAAUAUUGCACAAUGGGCGCAAGCCUGAUGCAGCCAUGCCGCGUGUAUGAAGAAGGCCUUCGGGUUGUAAAGUACUUUCAGCGGGGAGGAAGGGAGUAAAGUUAAUACCUUUGCUCAUUGACGUUACCCGCAGAAGAAGCACCGGCUAACUCCGUGCCAGCAGCCGCGGUAAUACGGAGGGUGCAAGCGUUAAUCGGAAUUACUGGGCGUAAAGCGCACGCAGGCGGUUUGUUAAGUCAGAUGUGAAAUCCCCGGGCUCAACCUGGGAACUGCAUCUGAUACUGGCAAGCUUGAGUCUCGUAGAGGGGGGUAGAAUUCCAGGUGUAGCGGUGAAAUGCGUAGAGAUCUGGAGGAAUACCGGUGGCGAAGGCGGCCCCCUGGACGAAGACUGACGCUCAGGUGCGAAAGCGUGGGGAACAAACAGGAUUAGAUGCCCUGGUAGUCCACGCCGUAAACGAUGUCGACUUGGAGGUUGUGCCCUUGAGGCGUGGCUUCCGGAGCUAACACGUUAAGUCGACCGCCUGGGGAGUACGGCCGCAAGGUUAAAACUCAAAUGAAUUGACGGGGGCCCGCACAAGCGGUGGAGCAUGUGGUUUAAUUCGAUGCAACGCGAAGAACCUUACCUGGUCUUGACAUCCACGGAAGUUUUCAGAGAUGAGAAUGUGCCCUCGGGAACCGUGAGACAGGUGCUGCAUGGCUGUCGUCAGCUCGUGUUGUGAAAUGUUGGGUUAAGUCCCGCAACGAGCGCAACCCUUAUCCUUUGUUGCCAGCGGUCCGGCCGGGAACUCAAAGGAGACUGCCAGUGAUAAACUGGAGGAAGGUGGGGAUGACGUCAAGUCAUCAUGGCCCUUACGACCAGGGCUACACACGUGCUACAAUGGCGCAUACAAAGAGAAGCGACCUCGCGAGAGCAAGCGGACCUCAUAAAGUGCGUCGUAGUCCGGAUUGGAGUCUGCAACUCGACUCCAUGAAGUCGGAAUCGCUAGUUAUCGUGGAUCAGAAUGCCACGGUGAAUACGUUCCCGGGCCUUGUACACACCGCCCGUCACACCAUGGGAGUGGGUUGCAAAAGAAGUAGGUAGCUUAACCUUCGGGAGGGCGCUUACCACUUUGUGAUUCAUGACUGGGGUGAAGUCGUAACAAGGUA
rnacentral:rRNA from 1 species